rnacentral:lncRNA from 1 species
UGAACUCAAUAUGAUGGUAUUUGGAGGUGGCAUCUUUAAGAAGUAAUGAAAUGGAGCCCUACUAAAUGGCAUUAGUACUAUUACAGAAAGAGGCCAGAGAACUAGUUCAUUCUGUUCACCAUGAAUAUGGUGCUACUACAGUCCUGCAAAAACCAAGGACCAGACCAGCAGUUAGCCAAAGAGUGGACGGGACUUCAUAAGGUGCUGCUGACCACUCAUUUCUCUGACAAACAGGCUGGAAUCAAGCCAUGGUUACCACAUAUUCAGAUAAAGACAGCUCCUCCUCAACCCAAU